UGUUAUCCUGCAAUAGAAUUGCAAGACAUUGCUAAAACAUGCAAUUGAAUUUGUGAGUGCAGUUAUUGCUGAUCCAGGAGGAGGUGUCUUCAUAUCAGAUCCAAAGAAGCCAGCACCGUUAUCUCAUAUAAAUAAUGAUGUGACUUAGUUACAAAUGUUUUCAAGGGACCCAACAAACAAAUACUUUGUCAACUGUCAAUGCUUGAAAGAAAAAUGGCUCAAGGUACCUUGGAAGCAAUAACUUGAGCGGGGAGCUACCCGCAAACAUCAUAACUAACACGCUUUUCUUAGAUAUCUCGUUCAAUCAAAUCUCUGGAACUAUACCUGCCAAUAAGUCAUAUAUUUCACUGUGAGCCUACUCCUACGACCCUCAACUUUGAAGAUUUUUAUGUAU